ncrna:unclassified sequences 2'dG-II riboswitch
UUUAUGUGUAAUCUCCAAAAUAUGGUUGGGGAGCCUCCACCAGUGAACCGUAAAAUCGCUGUCACCACGUUCA